AUUCAUUACAAUGAAUCAGAUGCAGAAUCUUACAACUAUGUUAUUUGUUCACCUGAUUGGGAAAAACCUGAGACUAUUUGAUCUUAUUGGAAUGCCUACCAAUUUUACAUAGCCUCAGCCAAUGUUUAUAUAAUUAAUCUCAAGUAAUAGAGAUGCUGUACCCCCUGAGGGAGUGACACUACUACCUGGAUCAUCCCACUAGGCAAGACAAAUUCAAAACUUUCCAUGCAAACACUUGCAUGGCAGUUGCUAUAAUAGGAUAUGAUAGUUGCUAUAUUAGGA